UAUCAUCUUAAACAAGUUUUUCAUCUUGCCACGGAAGAAAAUGUUUUAUUUCUGGAUGUAUGCGUCAGCAGAUUUUCACGUAUAUGUUUUUCUAUUAAUGUUCAUGAAUUCACAUGGAUUUGGAAGAUUAAUAAAGAGAUAUACAGCCAUUGUUUUCUUCCUGAGGGUUGCUGAGUUCUAUAGAGAAGGUCCAAAAAACAUCCUGAAUGUGUUUACCCCUUAGGAUGAUCCAAGAGAGCUUCUCUGCAUCACCUGCCACCUGGGUAUGCUCCAUGCUGUCAUAAGUGAAGAAGCUUUGGGCAUUAACACAAACUUCAGAAACGUUCCCAAAGCUGUUGAGAUACAAGGACUUCUUAAUGCAACCCUAGUGAUAUGCCUUCACUGAUGGUGGUACUCUGUGUUAUGCCAGAGAGAAGAUAUAGCUCAGUUUAUUUCAAGGACAGCCCCGUGAUGUAUUAAAAAGCAUUGCUUAAUUACCUGAAAUGUGUGUACAGAGAGAAGUUUUUAGGUAUUUGAGUUUUCUAUCUGGUCUGUCUGCUCAACUCUCUAUGGCAUAUGUCUCUGGCACACAUCAGCCUACUGGGCUUGACUGACUUCUGUGUCAGCUGAGUGAUGGAAGGUGUCACGGCUGCUCAUACCCACCCCAGCUGAUGUGGAGUAAAUUGGAAUUAUGUGGUUGUAUUUGUCACACAAAGUCCUAAAGACUGCGUAACACCGAGCACCCAAAAUGGAGAUGACCUCCAUUUUGCUUUCCUCCACAGUGGCUAUACUGCAGAAGGGAGAUGGGUUCACCACCUCUGUGUUGAAAAAUGGGCUGCUGAGCACAUUUCCAGCUCUGUUUUCACCACGUUAUGUGUUGGCACAUCCCAGAAUAAAUUGGGAUUGAACCACAUGAGAGGUAAUGCUGAUGGUCAUUUGAUGUCAACUUCUACCUGGAUCAGCCCCAGACACGGAAACCUGAUGCUUAAAUUCAGCUGGAUAACAAAUGAAAAGAUGAAAAGAGCUCUUUCUGACUUUAGAGGAGUAUUGGGAGUGUAUAUACUCUAGCAGAAUCAUCUGGUUACCAUGAUGAUGGGCGAUCUU
rnacentral:lncRNA from 1 species